rnacentral:rRNA from 1 species
AGGGAAUCUUCCGCAAUGGACGCAAGUCUGACGGAGCAACGCCGCGUGAGUGAGGAAGGUCUUCGGAUCGUAAAGCUCUGUUGCCCUAGACGAAAGACUUCAGGAGUAACUGCCUGGAGAGUGACGGUAUAGGAGAAGAAAGCCCCGGCUAACUACGUGCCAGCAGCCGCGGUAAUACGUAGGGGGCAAGCGUUGUCCGGAAUUAUUGGGCGUAAAGCGCGCGCAGGCGGUGGCCUAAGUCUUCUGUUUAAGCCCGGGGCUCAACCCCGGGACGCAGAGGAAACUGGGAGACUUGAGUGCAGGAGAGGAAAGUGGAAUUCCACGUGUAGCGGUGAAAUGCGUAGAGAUGUGGAGGAACACCAGUGGCGAAGGCGACUUUCUGGCCUGUAACUGACGCUGAGGCGCGAAAGCGUGGGGAGCAAAC